rnacentral:lncRNA from 1 species
UCUACAAGUUAUCUUCCUUUUCUUCAUUUAGUUCCUAAACUUGAAAUUUUAGCCUUGCAGAUUUUGAGAUAUUUCCUGAAUUGAAUGAGUCUGCAAGUGAUGGACAUUCAAUGGAUGGACAAGACUCCGGUUCAGACAAGGACCCAGAUUUCGUCGAUUUUUGAGAAUGAGUUGGACUCCGAAGGGAGGAUAGUUAGGACUGGACAACUUCCGAACCGAAUCGAAUCUGACGGUUCUUCUCAAAUUAAAUACCCAAACGGAUAUUUGAAUCAAGAACCGACGAGUACGGUUCGGUUCUGAUUCUAGGCCAAGACUCGAAUCUCCUUAAUUUUUUAAUUUAUUUAUUUUAAAUAAGUAAAAUUAUUUUAUUUUUUCUAAAUAAAUUUGUUAACUAGUUAAUUUUGUUCAAAUCACAAAAUAUGAUUUUUCUAUUUCUAAUUUUCAAUUCAAAAUCAACUUAAUCAAAUUGACCUCAAUUUUAUCUAAAUCUUAUUUUAUUUUUUCUAAAUAAAUUUGUUAACUAGUUAAUUUUGUUCAAACCACAAAAUAUGAUUUUUCUUAUUUUUAAUUUUCAGUUUAAAAUCAACUUAAUCAAAUUGACUUCAAUUUUAUCCAAAUCUGUUACUCUAUUGUAGUGCCGUUUCUAUUUGAGAAAAUUAAAUUAAAGUUCUACAACAUCUCUCUUAAUUAUUUUGAACUCGCUAUCUUUUCUUUCUGUGAUUUUAAUAAUUAAAUUUAUGAUGAAUUCAACAAAGAGAGACUGUUGACAGGAGACAUUGAAAUUGGUAUAGGGAGUUGUUGGACAAUGAUGACAAAUCGACAAAGGGGCUUCAAAAUGUGCAGACUAUUCCCGGAGGCUAAGCACAGAUUUUGUGUAAGACAUUUAUUAAAUUUAUUCGGUGUACUAAAAGAUUUUCUCUAGUAGGCAGCCAAGUCCACAACUAUUGUAGACCACAAACAAUGGAGGCAGCAAAUCAGGCAAUUGAGUGAAGAUCUUUCCUUUGAUUGAUGGAACGACCCCCCUCAAGGAAUGGAUCAAGUGAUAUUUUCAGGUGUAUACCAAAUGCAACAUUUUGUUGAACAACGGAUCUGAGGUUUUCAACAAGACACUUCUAGAGGAUCGGGACAAAAUGAUUCCUAAUAUGUUUGACUUUUAUUCAGUUGACCUAUGUGCAAAGAAUACAGUGGAGGCGGGAUAAAAUGAGGAAUCAUGCUGGCUGACUUUAUCCGAAGAUAAGAAAAAGGGUGCAGUAGGUGGUUGAAUGUGUUGUGCACUUAUCUAGUGGUUCCAAAUGGCAAGUGGAGUGUAGUUAUAGAACAUUUGUGAUUGACCUAGAGGAUGGAAGAUGUGCAUGUAAAAAGUGGGAGUUGACUGGCAUUCUAUACCUUCGUGCGAUGGCCGUGAUCCGCAAGUGUCGAAAUGAAAUUGAAGGCUAUGUUGACAACUGUUAUACGAUAGAUUCGUACUUGAACUAUUACAGGAGUAUUUUGAACCCAAUCAACAAGCCAAGGUUGUGGCCAAAGGUGAAUGCGAAGCCAAUUAAUCUACCAAAACGGACAGUGAAUAAGAAAGGGUGAAGACAAACCAAGAGAAAGAAGUAAGCGGAGGAAGUAGUGAUGCAUAUGCAGGACAAGUCUUGUGUUGCGGAAAAAGACCAUGUGAACAUGAUGUGCUCAGUUUGUGGUGUUGUGGACACAACACAGGACAUCAUUCCUCAGCACCCGUUGUGUUGGAUGUGAGUAAACUACAUUUAUUUCUUCUGUAAUUUAAUUUCUUGAUUCGUGUUUUAGGACUUGUUCAAUGCCCCAUUGGAAGAACUGGGAUCUCAACAAAACCAAUGAGUGUAAGUUAGUAGCUCACAAGCACACCUGCAUGUCAAAAAUUUUGCUUCUUUUCUCAUAUUUGUAGUUCAAUGCUGUAGGGAAGUUGUCUGCCAACAGGGAAAAUCGUCCAUCAACUAGUCGGACACCAGCAACAUAUCAUGUACAUGACAUAACUGACUAGCCACAGGCGUGAAAUCUGGACGAAAUGGUAGGCAAUUUUCAGGAUGCAGAAGAUGUUGAAGCUUCACAGUUUAGGGCAGCUAGAGUGUAUUCCUGAUGAUAUGCGAAGAUGUCUACAGCUACGUCUCGCUGAAGCUGAAUGUGCAUGGAUGUAGAUUGGAGACGGUGAAGCAUAACAUUCCUUGAAGCUUGUUUAUUUUGAUAGUAGUGAAUAGGUUAUCUGUGCAACUGGAACUUUGGGUUGCUUUUGGGGUUGGAAAAUCGUAAGCAGGCUUAGAAUUUUUUGGGAUGAGAAAUGGGUUGGAAAGUGGGAUUUUUUUUUUAUUUUUUUAUUUUUAUCGAAAGAAUGUUUUGAGUGAUAUGGAACGAUAUCAUAUUGUUAUAAUGAUCUUAACAGUAAUACUAACGUAUGUUGCCAUCUUUCAG